rnacentral:rRNA from 1 species
CCUAUGGGGGGCAGCAGUCGGGAAUAUUGCGCAAUGGAGGAAACUCUGACGCAGUGACGCCGCGUGCAGGAAGAAUGUUUUCGGAUUGUAAACUGCUUUAGACAGGGGAGAAAAAAGACAGUACCUGUAGUAUAAGCUCCGGCUAACUACGUGCCAGCAGCCGCGGUAAUACGUAGGAAGCAAGCGUUAUCCGGAUUUAUUGGGUGUAAAGGGUGCGUAGACGGAGAAGCAAGUCAGUUGUGAAAUCCCUCGGCUUAACUGAGGAACUGCAACUAAAACUAGUUGCCUUGAGUACUGGUGAGGAAAGUGGAAUUCGUAGUGUAGCGGUGAAAUGCGUAGAUAUUACGAGGAACACCAGUUGCGAAGGCGACCUUCUGGACAGUAACUGACGUUGAGGCACGAAAGUGUGGGGAGCAAACAGGAUUAGAUACCCGGGUAGUC